UUAUGUUUGGUUGCUGUACCACAUAAACAUGCCCUCGCAUACGCAUACUCACAUUCACACGGCCAAUGCUGGGCAACGAACCGGAACUGGAAAGCGAAGAAGAGUGGAGCAUCAAACAGCAAAACAACAUAAUUCAAACCUUUGCACAAAGUCUCCGGCGUUGGAAGGGAAACACUGCAAUGUGAUUUGUUCUCAUUUAUUUCGAGCGAACAAAAAUUGGUUCUAGCGCAAAGCGAUAAAAUAAUACAUCUAGGCCAUCCAAAAGGAAAAUAACGCUCCGUUUCCAAAGGUUCAUCCAGUUUUAUUGUGUUGCGUAACGUUCGAUUGCUUUUUUUGGAAAUGCAUCGCUAGAUGGCAUACAUCUUCAUCGCGAUUCGCACGAACAAUGGCAUUACGGUGUGAAAAUGUUUCUCUCUUUCACCGAAUCCGGAUGUAAACCACAGUACACAACGCGUGGAAAUUCAAAACAAACCUAACCUGAACCUUUAGAGACGAACAAUACCUUCGGUCCGCCGAUACAGCCGUGAGAAAGGAAAGACAGAUAAAUUAGACGUCUUUUCUUCGUAAUGACGAAUUUUUGCCACCGGGUCGAAAGCAAUAAGAAAAAAAAAGGUUUGGGCUAUCUCACGACGAUUACAAAAAUCAUAUAAGACUUCCCUCACCUCUACUGUCCCAACGGAUGGGUGGAGAGUGAUAAAAGUUUAUAGUAAGUUUGGGCGAAGAAAACUCCAUUCGUUGUCAAUUAAGAGUCGCGAAAGAUGAUGAUAUUUACUGAUUAUAAAAUUUCUUGUGCAGUUA